rnacentral:rRNA from 1 species
UACAGAGGGGGCAAGCGUUGUUCGGAAUUACUGGGCGUAAAGCGUGCGCAGGCGGUUAUGCAAGACAGAUGUGAAAUCCCCGGGCUUAACCUGGGAACCGCAUUUGUGACUGCAUAGCUGGAGUACGGCAGAGGGGGAUGGAAUUCCGCGUGUAGCAGUGAAAUGCGUAGAUAUGCGGAGGAACACCGAUGGCGAAGGCAAUCCCCUGGGCCUGCACUGACGCUCAUGCACGAAAGCGUGGGGAGCAAACAGG